rnacentral:rRNA from 1 species
CCUACGUGGGGCAGCAGUGGGGAAUAUUGGACAAUGGGCGAAAGCCUGAUCCAGCCAUGCUGCGUGUGUGAAGAAGGCCUUCGGGUUGUAAAGCACUUUCAGUGGGGAAGAAAGCCUUGGGGCUAAUACCCUCGAGGAAGGACAUCACCCACAGAAGAAGCACCGGCUAACUCCGUGCCAGCAGCCGCGGUAAUACGGAGGGUGCGAGCGUUAAUCGGAAUUACUGGGCGUAAAGCGCGCGUAGGCGGUCUGAUAAGCCGGUUGUGAAAGCCCCGGGCUCAACCUGGGAACGGCAUCCGGAACUGUCAGGCUAGAGUGCAGGAGAGGAAGGUAGAAUUCCCGGUGUAGCGGUGAAAUGCGUAGAGAUCGGGAGGAAUACCAGUGGCGAAGGCGGCCUUCUGGACUGACACUGACGCUGAGGUGCGAAAGCGUGGGUAGCAAACAGGAUUAGAUACCCGUGUAGUC